UCUAGCUACAUAAGUCGUAGUGGAGAAAGAUCAGCCUUCAACUUGUUAUACAAGAGAAAGAACAUGUCAGAUCAGAGGUACAGAUAACGUCUCAUAAGUUUACGAUCACAGAUAAAUGUUAACUUUGAUAGGUUAAUAGGACAAGCAAGUCUGGCAAACGAGGAUCAAGAAGGCAGUCUUAUUGAAAGGUAUUUUAUUGAGGCUACUAUAAAACAGUGUGUAGUUAUAAAAAUACUUGCAAGAGAGUUAAUUUAUUUUUUGUAUAACCCAGCCAUAAAUUUAAAUUGUUAUUGAACAUCCUGCGCGCGCUCCCGCGGACAUUAAUCGUUUAAACAGAUAGCUUUUUUAGCAAGACACUUGUAGCUUAAAGAAAUCUUCAGUCACGUGAGCAUAAUUGAAGGGUUAAUCUAUUAACGUUAUUGAUAUUCUAAAACCACAUGUCCAAGUUAGUGUAACGUUUUACUUUUAGGUUGUGAGAAUUCAGAAAUGAGACAAAUCCAAGACCUACAAGGAGGAGAAGGAGGAGGCCCAACCCCGCCGCACGUACGAUAAGGGUACGCUUGGGAUUCAUUGAAGAGGGAACAAAUCGUCCAGUUGCUCGAGAGAGCCAGGGUAUUGUAAAUCUGUAUGUGCCUUUGGACCAGACAGAGGAGGAGUUUGUCAGUGAAAUAAGGCGUGUUUUCCCAAUGCUUGGUGAUAGAACAUUCAAGCUUUGUCGGAUGGAUGCCCAUCAUCACAUCAUCAUCCUGAAUUUGCCUGGCAUCACACCACGUGACAUAAAAGAGUGCCUUGAAUUGAAUAGGUCUGCGGUUUACGUCAGAAUCAAGGCUGAGGACCAACCUACUUUUACUGUGCACAACCAGGCACCCUUACCUGUAACGCCAAAUUCCAAUUUCAAAUUACCAGACAAAGACAGUCAGACUCUCUGUUACCUGACAACAGCCAUGUGCCCCCCACAGAAGAAAGACCUGUUUACCUGUCACCAGGAAGGAUACCCUUAAGCACUGCACAGCAAACUAGAAAUGGCUCAAGCAGAUUGUCUAGUCAGGUGCAUAAUGAUGUCAGUU